CGCCUUUCGACAAACAAACAUGAAAGGUCCUGCCUGCCCAGUGAAAUUAUUUUAACGGCCGCGGUAUUAUGACCGUGCAAAGGUAGCAUAAUCACUUGCCUCCUAAAUCGAGACCAGUAUGAACGGCAAAACGAAAGCCUAACUGUCUCCUUAAGCCAGUCAAUGAAAUUGAUCUUCCCGUGCAAAAGCGGAAAUAUAAAUAUAAGACGAGAAGACCCUGUGGAGCUUAAAAAUAAAACUAUAUAGACAUUUUACAAUAGCAUUAAAUUUAGGUUGGGGCGACCAUGAGGUAAAAUAAAACCCUCAAGAUAAUAAUUAGAAGGACACUUCAAACAAAAAGUAAAACUUAUACAUGACCCAAUAAUGAUCAACGAACCAAGUUACCCCAGGGAUAACAGCGCAAUCCAUUUUCAGAGCUCAUAUCAACAAAUGGGUUUACGACCUCGAUGUUGGAUCAGGACCCCCCAAUGGUGCAACAACUAUUAAGGGUUCGUUUGUUCAACGAUUAAAGUCCU
rnacentral:rRNA from 1 species